rnacentral:lncRNA from 1 species
UGUUGAAGUGAUUAAAAAGAUGCAAUUUAGGCCCUGACAGUCAGUUUCCCUCUUAUUGCACAUAUGAGGCGCAGGUCCUUAAGUGAACUCAUGUACAAGAUGCAAAUAAAAUAAAAGGGAGGAAAGACAUUAGCUCAGAAAGCUCAGAGGGUAGGAGCAUGACUUAGAGCUCCUGCCUAAUAUGCAAAGUCCUGCACUGGAUUCACAGCAUUGCAAAACAGGACAACCAGGACGAGGGAGCUCUGGGAGUGGCCUCUAGCCUGCCCUAUUCCCCGACUCCUGCCUCAGUUUCUCUCUUAGAUCUAUCUACCUUCCUCCAUCAGGGAACGGUCCCUCUGUGUACCCCUCAGCCCACACACCUGGGCCUCCCCCCAAGCCUCGCCGGUCCAAGAAAGUGGAGCUGGAAGAUCCU